rnacentral:rRNA from 1 species
UACGUAGGCAGCGAGCGUUUGUUCGGAGUUACUGGGCGUAAAGAGUGCGUAGGCGGUUUUCUAAGUUUGGUGUGAAAUCUCCCGGCUCAACUGGGAGGGUGCGCCGAAGACUGGAAGGCUUGAGUAUGGGAGAGGUAAGCGGAAUUCCUGGUGUAGCGGUGAAAUGCGUAGAUAUCAGGAGGAACACCUGCGGUGUAGACGGCUUCUGGACCUAACUGACGCUGAGGCACGAAAGCGUGGGUAGCAAACAGG